CCUACGGGUGGCUGCAGUGAGGAAUAUUGGUCCAUGGGCGCGAGCCUGACCCAGCCAAGUAGCGUGAAGGAUGACUGCCCUACGGGUUGUAACCUUCUUUUAUAAAGGAAUAAAGUGAGGCACGUGUGCCUUUUUGUAUGUACUUUAUGAAUAAGGAUCGGCUAACUCCGUGCCAGUAGCCGCGGUAAUACGGAGGAUCCGAGCGUUAUCCGGCUUUAUUGGGUUUAAAGGGAGCGUAGAUGGGUUGUUCAGUCAGUUGUGAAAGUUUGCGGCUCAACCGUAAAAUUGCAAUUGAUACUGGCAGCCGUGAGUACAGUUGAGGUAGGCGGAAUUCGGGGUGUAGCGGUGAAAUGCUUAGAUAUCACGAAGAACUCCGAUUGCGAAGGCAGCCUACUAAACUGCCACUGACAUUGAUGCUCGAAAGUGUGGGUAUCAAACAGGAUUAGAUACCCUGGUAGUC
rnacentral:rRNA from 1 species